CCUACGGGAGGCAGCAGUAGGGAAUCUUCGGCAAUGGACGGAAGUCUGACCGAGCAACGCCGCGUGAGUGAAGAAGGUUUUCGGAUCGUAAAGCUCUGUUGUAAGAGAAGAACGAGUGUGAGAGUGGAAAGUUCACACUGUGACGGUAUCUUACCAGAAAGGGACGGCUAACUACGUGCCAGCAGCCGCGGUAAUACGUAGGUCCCGAGCGUUGUCCGGAUUUAUUGGGCGUAAAGCGAGCGCAGGCGGUUAGAUAAGUCUGAAGUUAAAGGCUGUGGCUUAACCAUAGUACGCUUUGGAAACUGUUUAACUUGAGUGCAAGAGGGGAGAGUGGAAUUCCAUGUGUAGCGGUGAAAUGCGUAGAUAUAUGGGGGAACACCGGUGGCGAAAGCGGCGCUCUGGCUUGUAACUGACGCUGAGGCUCGAAAGCGUGGGGAGCAAACAGGAUUAGAUACCCGUGUAGUC
rnacentral:rRNA from 1 species